AUCCCGGCUUACCAAACCGAUGCAAACUCCGAAUACCGAAGAAUGUUAUCACGGGAGACACACGGCGGGUGCUAACGUCCGUCGUGAAGAGGGAAACAACCCAGACCGCCAGCUAAGGUCCCAAAGUCAUGGUUAAGUGGGAAACGAUGUGGGAAGGCAUAGACAGCCAGGAUGUUGGCUUAGAAGCAGCCAUCAUUUAAAGAAAGCGUAAUAGCUCACUGGUCGAGUCGGCCUGCGCGGAAGAUGUAACGGGGCUAAACCAUGCACCGAAGCUGCGGCAGCGACGCUUAGGCGUUGUUGGGUAGGGGAGCGUUCUGUAAGCCGUUGAAGGUGGCCUGUGAGGGUUGCUGGAGGUAUCAGAAGUGCGAAUGCUGACAUAAGUAACGAUAAAGCGGGUGAAAAGCCCGCUCGCCGGAAGACCAAGGGUUCCUGUCCAACGUUAAUCGGGGCAGGGUGAGUCGACCCCUAAGGCGAGGCUGAAAAGCGUAGUCGAUGGGAAACAGGUUAAUAUUCCUGUACUUGGUGUUACUGCGAAGGGGGGACGGAGAAGGCUAGGCUAGCCGGGCGACGGUUGUCCCGGUUUAAGCGUGUAGGGGGUGUGACCUGGUAAAUCCGGUUGCAUGCUAACCCUGAGGCGUGAUGACGAUGCACUACGGUGCAGAAGUAGUUGAUGCCCUGCUUCCAGGAAAAUCCUCUAAGCUCCAGGUAACAUUAAAUCGUACCCCAAACCGACACAGGUGGUCAGGUAGAGAAUACCAAGGCGCUUGAGAGAACUCGGGUGAAGGAACUAGGCAAAAUGGUGCCGUAACUUCGGGAGAAGGCACGCUGGCAUGUAGGUGAAGUCCCUUGCGGAUGGAGCUGAAGCCAGUCGAAGAUACCAGCUGGCUGCAACUGUUUAAUAAAAACACAGCACUGUGCAAACACGAAAGUGGACGUAUACGGUGUGACGCCUGCCCGGUGCUGGAAGGUUAAUUGAUGGGGUCAGCCGCAAGGCGAAGCUCUUGAUCGAAGCCCCAGUAAACGGCGGCCGUAACUAUAACGGUCCUAAGGUAGCGAAAUUCCUUGUCGGGUAAGUUCCGACCUGCACGAAUGGCGUAAUGAUGGCCAGGCUGUCUCCACCCGAGACUCAGUGAAAUUGAACUCGCUGUGAAGAUGCAGUGUACCCGCGGCAAGACGGAAAGACCCCGUGAACCUUUACUAUAGCUUGACACUGAACAUUGAGCCUUGAUGUGUAGGAUAGGUGGGAGGCUUUGAAGCGUGGACGCCAGUCUGCGUGGAGCCAUCCUUGAAAUACCACCCUUUAAUGUUUGAUGUUCUAACUCGGCCCCGUAAUCCGGGGUGAGGACAGUGUCUGGUGGGUAGUUUGACUGGGGCGGUCUCCUCCCAAAGAGUAACGGAGGAGCACGAAGGUUAGCUAAUCACGGUCGGACAUCGUGAGGUUAGUGCAAAGGCAUAAGCUAGCUUGACUGCGAGAGUGACGGCUCGAGCAGGUACGAAAGUAGGUCUUAGUGAUCCGGUGGUUCUGAAUGGAAGGGCCAUCGCUCAACGGAUAAAAGGUACUCCGGGGAUAACAGGCUGAUACCGCCCAAGAGUUCAUAUCGACGGCGGUGUUUGGCACCUCGAUGUCGGCUCAUCACAUCCUGGGGCUGAAGUAGGUCCCAAGGGUAUGGCUGUUCGCCAUUUAAAGUGGUACGCGAGCUGGGUUUAGAACGUCGUGAGACAGUUCGGUCCCUAUCUGCCGUGGGCGUUGGAAGAUUGAGAGGGGUUGCUCCUAGUACGAGAGGACCGGAGUGAACGCACCACUGGUGUUCGGGUUGUCAUGCCAAUGGCAUUGCCCGGUAGCUAAGUGCGGAAAAGAUAAGCGCUGAAAGCAUCUAAGCGCGAAACUUGCCUCAAGAUGAGUCUUCCCUGGGCCUUUAAGGCCCCUGAAGGAACGUUUAAGACUAAGACGUUGAUAGGCUGGGUGUGUAAGUGCAGCGAUGCAUUGAGCUAACCAGUACUAAUGAUCCGUGAGGCUUAACCUU
rnacentral:rRNA from 1 species